AGCAAGUUCAUCGCAAAAUGGCCAACAUUCUACUAACCUAGGAUUAUUAUUACUGUCUGCAAAGGCCUUCGCCCUGGUACUCAUGUGGAUGACCUUCUGUCCACUCAGGAGCAAUCGAAUGAUUGCGGAUGGGACAGUGACUUGGCAGCUGUCCUCCUGCUCGUUCAUCUCUUGCCUCCAACCGCAAAAGGAAAGAAGACUGGGAAAAUCAGUGCCACUGAAGCUGCUGACCAGGUGAUCAAGUUCAUGAAGGUGGGGACGAGCAUGGUGACGUUCCUUGACAGAGUUGGAUCAGCACAGCCCUUCCUCCUCUGUGUUGGAGAAAAGAAGAGUAGUAUCCAGACGUUUUACGUCAUCC